rnacentral:lncRNA from 1 species
UAAUAUUAUCCCUUUAGUUUUCUAAGUGAUAAUAAUUUGCCGUAUAACCGGCUGUUCCUAGCACAAGUAGCAAAGGAUUUGAUUAUUGAUAUCCGAGAUCAUAAAUUUGAAUUCUAGUUAGAUUUACAUCUCCAACUAAAUUUAUUUCUAAAUGAAAUAUACGAAGUGGUUAACAUACUAUCUUUCUCUCUUAAAAAAAAAAAAUUGCCACAUAAUUUUACUAGUUUUCAAAAAAAUGAAAAUAAUACAUCUCU